rnacentral:rRNA from 1 species
GCUUACCAUGCAGUCGAACGGUGAAGCCAAGCUUGCUUGGUGGAUCAGUGGCGAACGGGUGAGUAACACGUGAGCAACCUGCCCUGGACUCUGGGAUAAGCGCUGGAAACGGUGUCUAAUACUGGAUAUGAGACGUGAUCGCAUGGUCGUGUUUGGAAAGAUUUUUCGGUCUGGGAUGGGCUCGCGGCCUAUCAGCUUGUUGGUGAGGUAAUGGCUCACCAAGGCGUCGACGGGUAGCCGGCCUGAGAGGGUGACCGGCCACACUGGGACUGAGACACGGCCCAGACUCCUACGGGAGGCAGCAGUGGGGAAUAUUGCACAAUGGGCGCAAGCCUGAUGCAGCAACGCCGCGUGAGGGAUGACGGCCUUCGGGUUGUAAACCUCUUUUAGCAGGGAAGAAGCGUAAGUGACGGUACCUGCAGAAAAAGCGCCGGCUAACUACGUGCCAGCAGCCGCGGUAAUACGUAGGGCGCAAGCGUUAUCCGGAAUUAUUGGGCGUAAAGAGCUCGUAGGCGGUUUGUCGCGUCUGCUGUGAAAUCCCGAGGCUCAACCUCGGGCCUGCAGUGGGUACGGGCAGACUAGAGUGCGGUAGGGGAGAUUGGAAUUCCUGGUGUAGCGGUGGAAUGCGCAGAUAUCAGGAGGAACACCGAUGGCGAAGGCAGAUCUCUGGGCCGUAACUGACGCUGAGGAGCGAAAGGGUGGGGAGCAAACAGGCUUAGAUACCCUGGUAGUCCACCCCGUAAACGUUGGGAACUAGUUGUGGGGACCAUUCCACGGUUUCCGUGACGCAGCUAACGCAUUAAGUUCCCCGCCUGGGGAGUACGGCCGCAAGGCUAAAACUCAAAGGAAUUGACGGGGACCCGCACAAGCGGCGGAGCAUGCGGAUUAAUUCGAUGCAACGCGAAGAACCUUACCAAGGCUUGACAUACACCAGAACACCGUAGAAAUACGGGACUCUUUGGACACUGGUGAACAGGUGGUGCAUGGUUGUCGUCAGCUCGUGUCGUGAGAUGUUGGGUUAAGUCCCGCAACGAGCGCAACCCUCGUUCUAUGUUGCCAGCACGUAAUGGUGGGAACUCAUGGGAUACUGCCGGGGUCAACUCGGAGGAAGGUGGGGAUGACGUCAAAUCAUCAUGCCCCUUAUGUCUUGGGCUUCACGCAUGCUACAAUGGCCGGUACAAAGGGCUGCAAUACCGUGAGGUGGAGCGAAUCCCAAAAAGCCGGUCCCAGUUCGGAUUGAGGUCUGCAACUCGACCUCAUGAAGUCGGAGUCGCUAGUAAUCGCAGAUCAGCAACGCUGCGGUGAAUACGUUCCCGGGUCUUGUACACACCGCCCGUCAAGUCAUGAAAGUCGGUAACACCUGAAGCCGGUGGCCCAACCCUUGUGGAGGAGCCUCGAAGU